rnacentral:lncRNA from 1 species
CAGAGUUAGAGAGGCUGACUCUGCUGGAGAGGAAGUGGAGGAGGGGUCUGGACAGACAAAACAAUGGAGCCACAACGUGCCUCCUGUUCCCAUUCAGAUACCAAAGGCACAGGUUCUAAAGAUUGAGGGAAAUGCUAGAUCAAGGAUCUUUGCAGACGUAAUUUGCUGAGGAUCUCAAGAUGAAAUCAUCCUGAAUUUAAGGUUAGCAGUGAAUCCAAUGACUGGUGUCCUUACAAGAAGAGGAGAGGACACACAGAGACACACAAAGAUGAAGACCACGUGAAGAUGAAGUCAGAGAUUGGAGUGUUGCAGCUACAACUCAAGGAACACUUGGAACCACUAAAAGGCUCAGAAAUCAAGCACACCCAUUGAAUAAGAACUUGGAUCCUAAGUGCUAUGUAACAUUAUGAAGACGCUCUCCUCAUGCAGAGGCACAAUUUCUCCUCUCAAUGAUGAAAGCAUCCUGCUAAGGAAUUGGAUGUGGUAAGUACCCUGAGGGUGAGAAGGAAGGCAAGAGGUAUGUGAAGCCUGAAAAGUCUAUAACUUUGGCUAAUAGAUUGGUUAUUGAGCUCCCUAAGCCAUGGCCGGGUUUUG